AGAGUUUGAUCAUGGCUCAGAACGAACGUUGGCGGCGUGGAUUAGGCAUGCAAGUCGAGCGAGAUUAACUUGAUUCAAUCUUUCGGGAGAGAAGCUUGUUAUGAGAGCGGCGAACGGGUGAGUAAUAAAUGGGUAAUUUGCCUCUUUGUUCGGGAUAGCCAUCGGAAACGAUGAUUAAUACCGAAUGUGUUCGGGAACUUCAUGGUUCCUUCUAUAAAGGCGGGGAAGCUUCGGCUCCUGUCGCAAAGAGAUAAGCCCAUUUCCUAUCAGCUUGUUGGUGAGGUAAUGGCUCACCAAGGCUUACGGGUAGCUGGUCUGAGAGGAUGGUCAGCCACACUGGGACUGAGACACUGCCCAGACUCCUACGGGAGGCUGCAGUCGAGAAUCAUUGUCAAUGCACGAAAGUGUGAACAUGCGACGCCGCGUGGAGGAAGACGGCCUUUGGGUUGUAAACUCCUGUCAGCAGGGAGUAAAAAUAGAUCACUUAAUACGUGUUUUAUUUGAUAGUACCUGCAGAGGAAGUCACGGCUAACUCUGUGCCAGCAGCCGCGGUAAUACAGAGGUGGCGAACGUUGUUCGGAUUUACUGGGCGUAAAGGGUCCGCAGGCGGUCUUGUGUGUCAGAUGUGAAAGCCCACGGCUUAACCGUGGAAUUGCAUUUGAAACUGCAAGACUAGAGUACUGGAGGGGAGAAGGGAACACUUGGUGUAGCGGUGAAAUGCGUAGAUAUCAAGUGGAACACCGGCGGCGAAGGCGCUUCUCUGGACAGAUACUGACGCUCAUGGACGAAAGUUAGGGUAGCGAAAGGGAUUAGAUACCCCUGUAGUCCUAACCGUAAACGGUGUGCACU
rnacentral:rRNA from 1 species